AGCGUACUCCCUCCAUCCGAAAAUAAUUGUCACAAAAAUGGAUAAAAAUGGAUGUAUCUGGAACUAAAAUAUGUCUAGAUACAUUCAUUUCUCCGACGAGUAUUUCCGGACGGAGGGAGUACAUG
rfam:Triticum aestivum genome assembly, contig: Triticum_aestivum_CS42_TGACv1_scaffold_577192_7BL